rnacentral:ncRNA from 2 species
CCUUCUGAGGAACGCUGCGAGAGUUUCAUACUCCCAGGCUCAGAGUGAUAGCUGCGAAGCUUCUCAACUGCGUUCACUUUUC